AGCAUGUGGUUUAAUUCGAAGCAACGCGAAGAACCUUACCAGGUCUUGACAUCCCGAUGCUAUUCUAGAGAUAGAAAGUUACUUCGGUACAUCGGUGACAGGUGGUGCAUGGUUGUCGUCAGCUCGUGUCGUGAGAUGUUGGGUUAAGUCCCGCAACGAGCGCAACCCCUAUUGUUAGUUGCCAUCAUUCAGUUGGGCACUCUAGCGAGACUGCCGGUAAUAAACCGGAGGAAGGUGGGAUGACGUCAAAUCAUCAUGCCCCUUAUGACCUGGGCUACACACGUGCUACAAUGGUUGGUACAACGAGUUGCGAGUCGGUGACGGCGAGCUAAUCUCUUAAAGCCAAUCUCAGUUCGGAUUGUAGGCUGCAACUCGCCUACAUGAAGUCGGAAUCGCUAGUAAUCGCGGAUCAGCACGCCCGCGGUCGAAUACGUUCCGGCCUU
rnacentral:rRNA from 1 species